CAGAAAUACAAAGAGGGAAUUCGGGGGAAAAAAGAAAUAAUAGAGAGAAAAGAAAGAGAGUUGAAAAGACGCUAAUACCCUUCUUCUUCAUCAUCUUCUUCCUCUUCUUCUUGUUCUAGUCUCCCGUUUUGUUGUUGGUCCCCUGUGUGAGGAAGAAGAGGCGAGGGUUAAAGCUCAUAGUUUCAGAGAAAGGAAUUCAUCAGCCACGUAGAGUUUGUUCUUUGGUUUUUUAACCAUUUUUUUCUCUUUUUCGUUUGUUUUUUUGGGAGUUUUCUUAGGGAUUUUGUCUUCUUUCAUUCAUGGGGACUGAGAUCCUACGGCCUCAGGAUUGUUUGAUCGAAAGGAUCAGAGUUCCACCGGCAGCGAUUUGUCGCCGGAGGAGUUCUUAUGGAAACUAUGACUCGAAUGUUUACAACUAUAAUUCUAGAUCUAACAGGAAGUCGGUGGCUCGUUCGGAGCGGCCGGAGCAGCGGAAGCGGUUUGUUUCGAAUCACUCCGAGCCGUCGGUCUCAAAGAGAUCGAGUUCCGACGAUUUGAAAGCAAUGAAAAAUAGUUUGGUGAUGGAGAAGGUUACGAUCUUGAGGCGAGGUGAAUCGCUCGAUUCGAAGAUCAAGAGCGAAGCUCUGAAGAAGGAAGGUGAUAAUCUUGUCGUGUGUGGGACCGAUAGGUUGGGACCGGCGCCGGAAAUGGUUCCGAAACAGAUACGGAUUGUCGACGUUCGGUGUUCGAUAGCCGGAAAAGCCGAUGUUUACGCCGGGUCGGCGUUUUCGAUGUCGCCGUCCCCAAGUUCUCUUCCAUUACCGUCGUUCUCGAAGAAGAAACAUGUAUCCACCAUCGUUGACGACUCGGCUACCAGAGAUCUGAGGCGUUUGCUUCGGCUCGACGCAUGAGUUCUUCACCAGAUCUUGAAUUUGGAUCUGAAAUCCAUCAAAAAAACGAAACAAAAAUCAUCUCUCGUCCAUUUCUCAUCUCUCAUCUUUCUAACGUCUCUCUCGAUCUAUCCAGAUCUGAGCUGCCGUGAUUUUUUUAAACGGUGGUAGAUCGGAAAAUCGAGCCAACGAGACAGGUAAAUCAGAUUAAAACAAGAAGUAUAUCGUAUAAUAUCGUGUAUUUAUGAUGAUCCAGGUUUGUUUAACGGGGAAGAAAUUCUGUGUAUUGUAAGUUUUUAGCUAAAUAUCUAGGCCGGAAGAACAGUAAUUUGGGUGGGUAUGGGUUUGAUUUCUGCAAAUAUUGGGAGAAAAAUUAGUUUGCGCUUUGAAUGAUUAAAUUUCUGCUCUGUUGUGAAUUUCUUUCGAGUCAAGGGCUUUGUUAGUUUUUUCUUUUUCAUACUUUCUGUAUGAUAUUAUGAAAGCUUAAUAUAAUAAGAAAACAAAUCUGAUGAAGAUUUUGUAGA
rnacentral:misc_RNA from 1 species